GACGAACGCUGGCGCCGCUCCUAACACAUGCAAGUCGAACGAGCGAGAGAGAGCUUGCUUUCUUGAGCGAGUGGCGAACGGGUGAGUAACGCGUGAGGAACCUGCCUCAAAGAGGGGGACAACAGUUGGAAACGACUGCUAAUACCGCAUAAGCCCACGACCCGGCAUCGGGUUGAGGGAAAAGGAGCAAUCCGCUUUGAGAUGGCCUCGCGUCCGAUUAGCUAGUUGGUGAGGUAACGGCCCACCAAGGCAACGAUCGGUAGCCGGACUGAGAGGUUGAACGGCCACAUUGGGACUGAGACACGGCCCAGACUCCUACGGGAGGCAGCAGUGGGGAAUAUUGCACAAUGGGGGAAACCCUGAUGCAGCGACGCCGCGUGGAGGAAGAAGGUCUUCGGAUUGUAAACUCCUGUUGUUGAGGAAGAUAAUGACGGUACUCAACAAGGAAGUGACGGCUAACUACGUGCCAGCAGCCGCGGUAAAACGUAGGUCACAAGCGUUGUCCGGAAUUACUGGGUGUAAAGGGAGCGCAGGCGGGAAGACAAGUUGGAAGUGAAAUCUAUGGGCUCAACCCAUAAACUGCUUUCAAAACUGUUUUUCUUGAGUAGUGCAGAGGUAGGCGGAAUUUCCGGUGUAGCGGUGGAAUGCGUAGAUAUCGGGAGGAACACCAGUGGCGAAGGCGGCCUACUGGGCACCAACUGACGCUGAGGCUCGAAAGUGUGGGUAGCAAACAGG
rnacentral:rRNA from 1 species